CUUCUAUGUGAGCUGCCACCACAGCACAGCAACUGGCAGAUGAAUGGUGUGGUUCUGUUACCAGGAAAUGAACUCAGGCAGCUGAAGCACUGCAGAAGAUUCUUUUGGAAUGCUAAUUUUCAUUAGUGCUUUCCCUUCCUGUGGCCUGGAUGCUUGACUCAGGAGUGAUUUCAUCACAGCAAACUAAAGUUUGAGAGCAAGGAUUGUCUUUGUGUAAACCCUGACCAAUGCUUCGAACUUGUUGCCCACAGCAAAAUCAAUGAGUGAAGGAGGAAAUCAAAUAGCCCCAUUUAACCGCUGAGCUGACCUUUAUCCUUAUUAUAAAGAAGAGGAUCUGUUUUGAUCAGCAUUAUCAACUUUUCCUUCCUCUCAGAUUUAAGAAUAUGAACUUUGCUACAGCUCUCUAACUCAUCGCUUUUCUUACCACCACGUGCUCACGCAGAUUCAUUCCACUUAAUUCAUUUUUGAAAGAGAUUUUCAUAAGUGGCCUUAUCCACCAUCUUAAAAUUCAAUCAAUUACCUAUGUGAUAUUUGAGCACCUACCAUAUGCUUGUCUCAGGCUAAAGAGGUGCCAAUGUAGAUGGCGAAACAAAAUCUGCAUAUUCACCACCAUAGAAGACAGAAUAAAAU
rnacentral:lncRNA from 1 species